CUAUAGAAAUGUAAUGCUAAUGAUAAACCAGGUAGGAACCUGAUGACUAUAGAAAUGUAAUGCUAAUGAUAAACCAGGUAGGAACCUGAUGACUAUAGAAAUGUAUUGCUAAUGAUAAACCAGGUAGGAACCUGAUGACUAUAGAAAUGUAAUACUAAUGAUAAACCAGGUAGGAUGAUGAUGACUAUAGAAAUGUAAUGCUAAUGAUAAACCAGGUAGGAACCUGACCACCUGAUGACUAUAGAAAUGUAAUACUAAUGAUAAACCAGGUAGGAACCUGAUGACUAUAGAAAUGUAAUACUAAUGAUAAACCAGGUAGGAACCUGACCACCUGAUGACUAUAGAAAUGUAAUACUAAUGAUAAACCAGGUAGGAACCUGAUGACUAUAGAAAUGUAAUACUAAUGAUAAACCAGGUAGGAACCUGAUGACUAUAGAAAUGUAAUGCUAAUGAUAAACCAGGUAGGAACCUGAUGACUAUAGAAAUGUAAUACUAAUGAUAAACCAGGUAGGAACCUGAUGACUAUAGAAAUGUAAUACUAAUGAUAAACCAGGUAGGAACCUGAUGACUAUAGAAAUGUAAUGCUAAUGAUAAACCAGGUAGGAACCUGACCACCUGAUGACUAUAGAAAUGUAAUACUAAUGAUAAACCAGGUAGGAACCUGACCACCUGAUGACUAUAGAAAUGUAAUACUAAUGAUAAACCAGGUAGGAACCUGAUGACUAUAGAAAUGUAAUACUAAUGAUAAACCAGGUAGGAACCUGAUGACUAUAGAAAUGUAAUGCUAAUGAUAAACCAGGUAGGAACCUGAUGACUAUAGAAAUGUAAUACUAAUGAUAAACCAGGUAGGAACCUGAUGACUAUAGAAAUGUAAUACUAAUGAUAAACCAGGUAGGAACCUGAUGACUAUAGAAAUGUAAUGCUAAUGAUAAACCAGGUAGGAACCUGAUGACUAUAGAAAUGUAAUACUAAUGAUAAACCAGGUAGGAACCUGACCACCUGAUGACUAUAGAAAUGUAAUACUAAUGAUAAACCAGGUAGGAACCUGAUGACUAUAGAAAUGUAAUGCUAAUGAUAAACCAGGUAGGAACCUGAUGACUAUAGAAAUGUAAUACUAAUGAUAAACCAGGUAGGAACCUGAUGACUAUAGAAAUGUAAUGCUAAUGAUAAACCAGGUAGGAACCUGAUGACUAUAGAAAUGUAAUGCUAAUGAUAAACCAGGUAGGAACCUGAUGACUAUAGAAAUGUAAUGCUAAUGAUAAACCAGGUAGGAACCUGACCACCUGAUGACUAUAGAAAUGUAAUGCUAAUGAUAAACCAGGUAGGAACCUGACCACCUGAUGACUAUAGAAAUGUAAUACUAAUGAUAAACCAGGUAGGAACCUGACCACCUGAUGACUAUAGAAAUGUAAUACUAAUGAUAAACCAGGUAGGAACCUGAUGACUAUAGAAAUGUAAUACUAAUGAUAAACCAGGUAGGAACCUGACCACCUGAUGACUAUAGAAAUGUAAUACUAAUGAUAAACCAGGUAGGAACCUGAUGACUAUAGAAAUGUAAUACUAAUGAUAAACCAGGUAGGAACCUGAUGACUAUAGAAAUGUAAUGCUAAUGAUAAACCAGGUAGGAACCUGAUGACUAUAGAAAUGUAAUACUAAUGAUAAACCAGGUAGGAACCUGAUGACUAUAGAAAUGUAAUGCUAAUGAUAAACCAGGUAGGAACCUGACCACCUGAUGACUAUAGAAAUGUAAUACUAAGGAUAAACCAGGUAGGAACCUGAUGACUAUAGAAAUGUAAUACUAAUGAUAAACCAGGUAGGAACCUGACCACCUGAUGACUAUAGAAAUGUAAUGCUAAUGAUAAACCAGGUAGGAACCUGAUGACUAUAGAAAUGUAAUACUAAUGAUAAACCAGGUAGGAACCUGAUGACUAUAGAAAUGUAAUACUAAUGAUAAACCAGGUAGGAACCUGAUGACUAUAGAAAUGUAAUACUAAUGAUAAACCAGGUAGGAACCUGAUGACUAUAGAAAUGUAAUGCUAAUGAUAAACCAGGUAGGAACCUGAUGACUAUAGAAAUGUAAUACUAAUGAUAAACCAGGUAGGAACCUGACCACCUGAUGACUAUAGAAAUGUAAUACUAAUGAUAAACCAGGUAGGAACCUGAUGACUAUAGAAAUGUAAUACUAAUGAUAAACCAGGUAGGAACCUGACCACCUGAUGACUAUAGAAAUGUAAUACUAAUGAUAAACCAGGUAGGAACCUGAUGACUAUAGAAAUGUAAUACUAAUGAUAAACCAGGUAGGAACCUGAUGACUAUAGAAAUGUAAUACUAAUGAUAAACCAGGUAGGAACCUGAUGACUAUAGAAAUGUAAUACUAAUGAUAAACCAGGUAGGAACCUGAUGACUAUAGAAAUGUAAUACUAAUGAUAAACCAGGUAGGAACCUGAUGACUAUAGAAAUGUAAUGCUAAUGAUAAACCAGGUAGGAACCUGACCACCUGAUGACUAUAGAAAUGUAAUACUAAUGAUAAACCAGGUAGGAACCUGAUGACUAUAGAAAUGUAAUACUAAUGAUAAACCAGGUAGGAACCUGAUGACUAUAGAAAUGUAAUGCUAAUGAUAAACCAGGUAGGAACCUGACCACCUGAUGACUAUAGAAAUGUAAUACUAAUGAUAAACCAGGUAGGAACCUGAUGACUAUAGAAAUGUAAUACUAAUGAUAAACCAGGUAGGAACCUGAUGACUAUAGAAAUGUAAUACUAAUGAUAAACCAGGUAGGAACCUGAUGACUAUAGAAAUGUAAUACUAAUGAUAAACCAGGUAGGAACCUGAUGACUAUAGAAAUGUAAUACUAAUGAUAAACCAGGUAGGAACCUGACCACCUGAUGACUAUAGAAAUGUAAUACUAAUGAUAAACCAGGUAGGAACCUGAUGACUAUAGAAAUGUAAUACUAAUGAUAAACCAGGUAGGAACCUGACCACCUGAUGACUAUAGAAAUGUGAUACUAAUGAUAAACCAGGUAGGAACCUGAUGACUAUAGAAAUGUAAUACUAAUGAUAAACCAGGUAGGAACCUGACCACCUGAUGACUAUAGAAAUGUAAUACUAAUGAUAAACCAGGUAGGAACCUGACCACCUGAUGACUAUAGAAAUGUAAUACUAAUGAUAAACCAGGUAGGAACCUGAUGACUAUAGAAAUGUAAUACUAAUGGAACCUACAAGCACUGAUUUUUGCGCAUAGCGGCUAUUUUGAAGAAGGCUUUUACUUGCAAUGAGAGGAAUGUGGUUGUUUUUAUAUACAUUACUUAAAUGCACUGGUUAUAAGUCGCUCUUGAUUAAGUGCUAAUUAACUCUUAAUUAAUACUUUUUUUCUACACGUACCCAGUUCUCUGACAAUCUCUCAUCCCUCAGUUUUUUUAUUUUUUAUUUUUUACCUUUAUUUAACCAGGCAAGUCAGUUAAGAACAUAUUCUUAUUUUCAAUGACGGCCUGGGAACAGUGGGUUAACUGCCUGUUCAGGGGCAGAACGACAGAUUUGUACCUUGUCAGCUCGUUGAACCCUUCUUCAUCAUAAAUGCAUCUAACCCACUGUGUUAACCCACUGUCAAUUCAAGUUAAGGGCUUUAUUGGCAUGGGAAACUUAUGUUUACAUUGCCACAGCAAGUGAAAUAGAUAAACUAUAAAACAUUAACAGUAAACAUUACACUCACACAAGAUCCAAAAGAAUAGAGACAUUACAAAUGUCAUAUUUAUACAUAGUGUUGUAACGAUGUGCAAAUAGUUAAAGUACAAAAGGGAAAAUAAAUAUGGGUUGUAUUUACAA